GCUCAGAGAGGGGUCAAUGUCCUAUCAGCUAGUUGGUAGGGUAAUGGCCUACCAAGGCUAAGACGGGUAGCCGGCCUGAGAGGGUGGUCGGCCACACUGGGACUGAGACACUGCCCAGACUCCUACGGGAGGCUGCAGUCGAGAAUCUUUCGCAAUGCCCGAAAGGGUGACGAAGCGACGCCGCGUGUGGGAAGAAGGCCUUCGGGUUGUAAACCACUGUCGGGAGUUAAGAAAUGCAAGGGUGUUAAUAGCAUCCUUGCUUGACUAAGGCUCCGGAGGAAGCCACGGCUAACUCUGUGCCAGCAGCCGCGGUAAUACAGAGGCGGCAAGCGUUGUUCGGAAUUAUUGGGCGUAAAGAGCACGUAGGCGGCUUUGUAAGUCAGUUGUGAAAGCCUUCUGCUCAACGGAAGAACAGCAUCUGAUACUGCAAGGCUAGAGUGCGGAAGGG
rnacentral:rRNA from 1 species